rnacentral:rRNA from 1 species
GUCCACGCCGUAAACGAUGAAUGCUAGGUGUUAGGGGUUUCAAUACCCUUGGUGCCGAAGUUAACACAUUAAGCAUUCCGCCUGGGGAGUACGCUCGCAAGAGUGAAACUCAAAGGAAUUGACGGGGACCCCGCACAAGCAGUGGAGUAUGUGGUUUAAUUCGAAGCAACGCGAAGAACCUUACCAGGUCUUGACAUCCCUCUGAAUACAUUAGAGAUAGUGUAGGCCUUCGGGACAGAGGAGACAGGUGGUGCAUGGUUGUCGU